UACGUAGGGUGCGAGCGUUGUCCGGAAUUACUGGGCGUAAAGAGCUCGUAGGUGGUUUGUCGCGUUGUCCGUGAAAACUCACAGCUUAACUGUGGGCGUGCGGGCGAUACGGGCAGACUGGAGUACUGCAGGGGAGACUGGAAUUCCUGGUGUAGCGGUGGAAUGCGCAGAUAUCAGGAGGAACACCAGUGGCGAAGGCGGCUUCCUGGACCGGUUCUGACACUGAGGAGCGAAAGCGUGGGGAGCGAUCCGG
rnacentral:rRNA from 1 species